UACGUAGGGGGCAAGCGUUGUCCGGAAUCAUUGGGCGUAAAGCGCGUGUAGGCGGCCCGGUAAGUCCGCUGUGAAAGUCCAGGGCUCAACCCUGGAAUGCCGGUGGAUACUGUCGGGCUCGAGUCCGGAAGAGGCGAGUGGAAUUCCCGGUGUAGCGGUGAAAUGCGCAGAUAUCGGGAGGAACACCAAUGGCGAAGGCAGCUCGCUGGGACGGUACUGACGCUGAGACGCGAAAGCGUGGGGAGCAAACAGG
rnacentral:rRNA from 1 species